rnacentral:rRNA from 1 species
CCUACGGGUGGCAGCAGUGAGGAAUAUUGGUCAAUGGCCGAGAGCCUGAACCAGCCAAGUCGCGUGAGGGAAGACGGCCCUACGGGUUGUAAACCUCUUUUGUCCGGGAGUAAAGUGAGGCACGUGUGCCUCAUUGUGAGUACUUUAUGAAAAAGCAUCGGCUAACUCCGUGCCAGCAGCCGCGGUAAUACGGAGGAUCCGAGCGUUAUCCGGAUUUAUUGGGUUUAAAGGGGGCGUAGAGGGGUGGUGAAGUCAGGUGUUAAAGUUGGGGGCUCAACCCUAGAACUGCCGUUGAACCUGGCAGCCUUGAGUGCGGGAGAGGUAGGCGGAAUGCGUGGUGUAGCGGUGAAAUGCUUAGAUAUCACGAAGAACUCCGAUUGCGAAGGCAGCAUAC